rnacentral:rRNA from 1 species
UAGAUACCCGUCUAUUCAUGACCUAAACAACAGUUGAAUAUUACGAACAACAGUUUAAAAUUCAAAGAUUUUGGCGGUGUCUUAUAAAACCAGGGGAACCUGUCUCAUAACUCGAUAGUCCACGCAUAGUCAACCUUCUCUCGACAUCAGCCUGUGUACUGCCGUUGUAAGCAUACCUCUAAAAGUGUAGUGUGCCUAUAUGAACUCAUAUACAUCAGGUCAAAGUGCAGCUAAUAAGAAGGUGAUGAUGGGUUACAACCUCAAAAUAGACUAUCAACCAAGAAAUAAAAAAUCUUACGAAAGUGGACUUGGCCGUAAUCAAUUUACAAGUUAAAAAAAUGAAUAACAAUCUAAGACAUGCACACAUCGCCCGUCACUCUACCCUAAAGGGUAGAUAAGUCGU